rnacentral:rRNA from 1 species
GACCAAAGAGGGGGACCUUCGGGCCUCUUGCCAUCGGAUGUGCCCAGAUGGGAUUAGCUAGUAGGUGAGGUAACGGCUCACCUAGGCGACGAUCCCUAGCUGGUCUGAGAGGAUGACCAGCCACACUGGAACUGAGACACGGUCCAGACUCCUACGGGAGGCAGCAUG